GGGGCUGUAGCUCAGGGGGAGAGCGCUUGACUCACAUUCAAGAGGCCUAGGGUUCAAAUCCCUACAGCCCCACCA
rnacentral:tRNA from 1 species